AGUGAACGCUGGCGGUAGGCCUAACACAUGCAAGUCGAACGGCAGCACAGUAAGAGCUUGCUCUUACGGGUGGCGAGUGGCGGACGGGUGAGGAAUACAUCGGAAUCUACUUUUUCGUGGGGGAUAACGUAGGGAAACUUACGCUAAUACCGCAUACGACCUACGGGUGAAAGCAGGGGAUCUUCGGACCUUGCGCGAUUGAAUGAGCCGAUGUCGGAUUAGCUAGUUGGCGGGGUAAAGGCCCACCAAGGCGACGAUCCGUAGCUGGUCUGAGAGGAUGAUCAGCCACACUGGAACUGAGACACGGUCCAGACUCCUACGGGAGGCAGCAGUGGGGAAUAUUGGACAAUGUGCGCAGGCCUGAUCCAGCCAUACCGCGUGGGUGAAGAAGGCCUUCGGGUUGUAAAGCCCUUUUGUUGGGAAAGAAAAGCAGCAGGUUAAUACCCCGCUGUUCUGACGGGACCCAAAGAAUAAGCACCGGCUAACUUCGU
rnacentral:rRNA from 1 species